rnacentral:lncRNA from 10 species
CACACACUCUCUCUUUCUCAUUCUCCUUUCCCUCCUCUCCAUCUCCCUAUUGCAUUGUGUCUGACUGAUUUUCAGAGCACCUUCGCUGUUUCCCCCUUCUCGUUCCCUUCUCAUAAAAUAUCUAGACAGGAAGGAGGUGGCUGCAGAGGCUGAACAAUCUCAUAUUCUGCCUGCAAUGUCAUCGUUUCUUUCCCCCAUUUUAGGGGGCUGAAGUUGCCCAGCAAGGGAUGCAGAGGAGCUGGAAAAGAAGGGGGGAGCUCUCCAGAGGCAGCUGCGGUCAGGGGCAGGGACUGCCGCCAGAUGUGCCUGCCUUUCUGGGCUUUGAUGAGAAAGGGGCAGCAGGAGGAAAUAUUGGGAGACAAAAGCCCCGGUUUAAAUGAUCAUUUUCUUUAUUUAACAUGGCAGCAGACACUCUCUGCGUAGGAUCAUCAUGCCGAGCAUAAACUGGACUUUCCCACUUGCCUGGCAGGAGUCACACAGAUCCCUGCGUGCUAAAUGAACAUCUGAGGUUUGAGAUGGGGCCCAAGAUGCUUUUCUGACAAGUUUCCUGGUGAUGCAAUGUUGCUGUUGGGGAAACCUCCAUUUGACCCUUGAAUCCUGACUAUUGGAGAAACAGCACCAUAUUUUGGAUACUGAUUCAGACCAUAUACAGCCUUCUGGAGAAUCUUGCCCCAGUCCUGAAAGGUAUUUCUAUUCAUCUAGUUGGUGCUAUAACUGAGUCUUCAAAAGACAAUUCCACUGUUCUAUCAAGAAAGCUGCUUCAGGAUGGUGGGAAAUAUGGUUUUGGUAUCAGGAUGAUGCUGGCAUCAUAAAAUGAGUAUUUUUCUUCAGACUUCAGACUGCUGUGCUGGAAGCAAGAAUUUCAAGCAUUGGAUCUUAGCUUGCUGGGCUCCAUAGGGGUGGGAUCCACUGAGCUAGACCACUUGGCUCCCUGGCUUCAGCCCCCUUCCAGAUUCAAACUAAUGGUGUCUCACCAACACAUGGCAUGAGAACACCUGUAGCAAUCUGUUUGACAGUCAUUCACGAGCAACUUAGAAUUGCAAGAAAGAUGUCCUUGGCGUGUACACCCUGUGGAAUCUGGUUCAUCUUCAAUCUGUCAGAAGGCAUCAGAGGUGGUUUUGACUCCUUAUGUCUUGGACCUGUGCACAAAAAGUGUAAAAUGGAUGGAACAUCAGACAGCUCAUUAUAGAGACAAGUAAGCUCCAGUUCCAAAGUUGGUUGACAGAACAAGUCAUGACCUUGUGUGGAGGAAAAUGAGAUCCCGAGUGAAGUCUACAAUGUCAUUGACUCUGAAGAAGGACUCAGAGACCCAUUGGUGUUUAAUGACCCUUACUGGCCUAUGCAAUGGAAACUGAUCUUGAGUGUGCCUUAAAAUUCCAUUUCAUGGAGAACUGUGCGUGGUUGAAUUUUGAUUGAUUACUCAAUUAACUGAUGUAUUGGUAGAGUGAUUAAGAAAGAAGACUUUGGGAUCAGACCAACCUGGUUUUGAAUUCAAGCUCAGCAACUUACUAGGUAAGGAGGAGAAAAGAAAGAAGGAAAAAUUGGAAAGAUAAAUGGGGUCUUUCCAGUGAAGCUGCAGUUAUGGCAUUAACCACCCAGUUGUUACCUACUUCUAGAUGAAAGCUCAAUUUUCCUACAUAAUUAAGAGUUUGGAAUUCGGGCAAUAUCAAGAACCACAUCUGUCCUGAAAUCAAUUAUCUCUGUUUGAAACACAAGAAAUAAGAAGACCAUUUUGAGAAGAACAGAGAGUAGCCUUAAGAAAAUCCCUGUCGCAAGCACUCUGGGAUUUGGACUCAAAUGCUAAUUAUACAGAACCACUUGGGUGCCCAGCUGCUGUCCAUUCUCUACACUUAUCCCACCUGAUGGAAGGCUGUUAAGAAAAACAUCACUGCAAUGCCUAAUAAACAGACAUGGGUCCCAGACCCAAUAAGAGUGAAACCAUCCCCCUAUUUAAAUGAAAUUAUGGCUGAUGAGAAAGACAAAUUAAUUUCUCUGUCCCUAGUAUUACACAAAACUUUGGAUGCUGCCAUUGUUACAAUUUUAUUUUCCCCAGGAGCUCAGAGUCCCACCUUCAUUCUUUUUGUUUAAUGCUUAAGCUUGCCUGUCCACCUAUGGAAGACUAGAAUGAGCAAAGACCAUGUAUUCAAUGAUCUGUAAAUCUAACAGGAAACAAUAUAAUAAAUAUAUUGUGUUUGCUAACCAAAUCUGUGAAUGAUUAGAUCGACUGGUUAAUGAUUAGAUGGAUUAACACAUCAUUUCUAUUUUCUCUCUCCUCCCCUACUUCUUGUUUUAAUGAUACCUUCCAAGUUUUAUUUCUCCAAGCCUAACCCCUUACAUAAUACAAGAGGACAACAGUUUGCAAAAUAAAUAUCUGUUGGCCCUAACUGGUAAAUACUGAAAUAGAUUUCAAGUAAUGUGAGUGUUUUUGAAACCACCUAAAUCUGUAAGCCACCCUGCAAGGAACAAGGGUAGCAAAGUGAAUAAGCCAGACAUGUAAAAAUAAAGAUGACAAAAUGGAAGGCAAUUAAUGCCUGUAAUGGAGGUGGGGAAGGGGGGAAUGACAAGUUAAUAAGAAAUUUAUUUUUAAAUGCUAUCAUCUGCCAUAAAAUAUCCAUGCUUAUUUUAGAAAAUAUGUAAAAUGUUUAAGAAUUAAACAUCUUUAAAAAAAUCACAUGAACUCAUCACCCUGCAACAAAACACACACAGAUGAGUGCACACACUUAAACACACAUUAAUUUUCAAUUAGUAUAUAAAGUUAAUAUCCUGCUAAGUACAAGAUACUAUAUCAUGAGCACUUUGUCUC